GAUGAACGCUGGCGGCGUGCAUAACACAUUCAAGUCGAACGGACAUAUUGACUUCGGUUGAUAUGUUAGUGGCGGACGGGUGAGUAACGCGUGAGCAACCUGCCCCUAUGUGCGGGAUAACGGCUGGAAACGGACGCUAAUACCGCAUGAUCCAAGAGGACCGCAUGAUUUUCUUGGCAAAGAUUUAUUGCAUAGGGAUGGGCUCGCGUCCGAUUAGAUAGUUGGCGGUGCAACGGACCACCAAGUCGACGAUCGGUAGCCGGACUGAGAGGUUGAACGGCCACAUUGGAACUGAGAAACGGUCCAGACUCC
rnacentral:rRNA from 1 species